AUGCAGAGGCAGCAACCAGGAAGACGUGGCUCCUUUGAAGGUUGCCCGCUCUGCGCGAAGCAUGCUUCUGGAGGGGAAUCCCAGCUGGUGCGGUUACACAUAAAAUACACCAGAAAAGGACUCGGUGAAGGAGUCUGCCCUUUCAUGCCUCAAUUAUCCAACCUGAGAGAUGGUGAGGUGAAUCUUUACCAGCUGACCAUGACUCCAAAGUCUCCAGAGAUUCUCAAAGAAAUCCUCAGAGAAGACCGAGAUGGGGGCCAGUCUGACUCUUCCUAUGCAUCAGAAAAUCUACCUCCUCCUGGUGAGUUUCAAGAGGAAUAGGCAUUGGACUUCCCUGUUGGUCCAGUAGCUAAGACUCAGCCUUUCAGUGCAAGGGAUGUGGGUUCAAUCCAUGGUCAGGGAACUGUGAUCCCACACGCCAUGGAGCAACUAAGCCCACAAGCUAUGACUACUGAGCCUGCACACUUGAGAGCCUAUGCUCCACAACAAGAGAAACCCUUGCAGCGAUGAACGAGACCCAGUGCAGCACCGCCCCCCACCCAAAAAAAAGGGAUCGGUAUUGCUGCCUGAGUUCUGAAGUGAUGGAGAUUUUGUUGUUAUUGUUUAGUCACUAAGUUGUGUCCAACUCUCUGCAACCCCAUGGACUGUAGCCCACCAAGCUCCUCUGUUCAUGGGACUUCCCAGGCAAG
rnacentral:lncRNA from 1 species